GAGCGCCCCGCAAGGGGAGCGGCAGACGGGAGAGUAACACGUGGGAACGUACCCUUCGGUUCGGAACAACCCAGGGAAACUUGGGCUAAUACCGGAUACGUCCGUAAGGAGAAAGAUUCAUCGCCGAAGGAUCGGCCCGCGUCUGAUUAGCUAGUUGGUGAGGUAACGGCUCACCAAGGCGACGAUCAGUAGCUGGUCUGAGAGGAUGAUCAGCCUCACUGGGACUGAGACACGGCCCAGACUCCUACGGGAGGCAGCAGUGGGGAAUAUUGGACAAUGGGCGCAAGCCUGAUCCAGCCAUGCCGCGUGGGUGAUGAAGGCCCUAGGGUUGUAAAGCCCUUUCGGCGGGGAAGAUAAUGACGGUACCCGCAGAAGAAGCCCCGGCUAACUUCGUG
rnacentral:rRNA from 1 species